rnacentral:rRNA from 1 species
ACGGAGGGUGCAAGCGUUAAUCGGAAUUACUGGGCGUAAAGCGCACGCAGGCGGUUGGAUAAGUUAGAUGUGAAAGCCCCGGGCUCAACCUGGGAAUUGCAUUUAAAACUGUCCAGCUAGAGUCUUGUAGAGGGGGGUAGAAUUCCAGGUGUAGCGGUGAAAUGCGUAGAGAUCUGGAGGAAUACCGGUGGCGAAGGCGGCCCCCUGGACAAAGACUGACGCUCAGGUGCGAAAGCGUGGGGAGCAAACAGGAUUAGAUACCCUGGUAGUCCACGCCGUAAACGAUGUCGAUUUGGAGGCUGUGUCCUUGAGACGUGGCUUCCGGAGCUAACGCGUUAAAUCGACCGCCUGGGGAGUACGGCCGCAAGGUUA